CCUACGGGUGGCAGCAGUGAGGAAUAUUGGUCAAUGGUCGGGAGCCUGAACCAGCCAAGCAGCGUGAAGGAUGACUGUACUGCGUAUCGUAAACCUCUUUUGUCAGGGAAUAAAGUCUGGCACGCGUCCCCUUUUGUGUGUACUUUAUGAAUAAGCAUCGGCUAACUCCGUGCCAGCAGCCGCGGUAAUACGGAGGAUCCGAGCGUUAUCCGGAUUUAUUGGGUUUAAAGGGUGCGUGGACGGUAGGUUAGGUCAGUGUUGAAAGCUGGCGGCUCAACCGGAGAAGUGCCAGUUAUACUGGCUGGCUGGAGUGCAGAUGAGGUAGGAGGAAUGUGUGGUGUAGCGGUGAAAUGCAUAGAUAUCACAAAGAACACCGAUUGCGAAGGCAGCUCACGAAUCUGCGAUUGACACUGAUGCACGAAAGCGUGGGUAUCAAACAGGAUUAGAUACCCUAGUAGUC
rnacentral:rRNA from 1 species